UACCAUGCAGUCGACGGUGAAGCAGAGCUUGCUCUGUGGAUCAGUGGCGAACGGGUGAGUAACACGUGAGCAAUCUGCCCCUGACUCUGGGAUAAGCGCUGGAAACGGCGUCUAAUACCGGAUACGAGCUGCGACCGCAUGGUCAGUAGCUGGAAAGAAUUUCGGUCAGGGAUGAGCUCGCGGCCUAUCAGCUUGUUGGUGAGGUAAUGGCUCACCAAGGCGUCGACGGGUAGCCGGCCUGAGAGGGUGACCGGCCACACUGGGACUGAGACACGGCCCAGACUCCUACGGGAGGCAGCAGUGGGGAAUAUUGCACAAUGGGCGAAAGCCUGAUGCAGCAACGCCGCGUGAGGGAUGACGGCCUUCGGGUUGUAAACCUCUUUUAGCAGGGAAGAAGCGAAAGUGACGGUACCUGCAGAAAAAGCGCCGGCUAACUACGUGCCAGCAGCCGCGGUAAUACGUAGGGCGCAAGCGUUAUCCGGAAUUAUUGGGCGUAAAGAGCUCGUAGGCGGUCUGUCGCGUCUGCUGUGAAAACCCGAGGCUCAACCUCGGGCCUGCAGUGGGUACGGGCAGACUAGAGUGCGGUAGGGGAGAUUGGAAUUCCUGGUGUAGCGGUGGAAUGCGCAGAUAUCAGGAGGAACACCGAUGGCGAAGGCAGAUCUCUGGGCCGUAACUGACGCUGAGGAGCGAAAGGGUGGGGAGCAAACAGGCUUAGAUACCCUGGUAGUCCACCCCGUAAACGUUGGGAACUAGUUGUGGGGUCCAUUCCACGGAUUCCGUGACGCAGCUAACGCAUUAAGUUCCCCGCCUGGGGAGUACGGCCGCAAGGCUAAAACUCAAAGGAAUUGACGGGGACCCGCACAAGCGGCGGAGCAUGCGGAUUAAUUCGAUGCAACGCGAAGAACCUUACCAAGGCUUGACAUAUAGAGGAAACGUCUGGAAACAGUCGCCCCGCAAGGUCUCUAUACAGGUGGUGCAUGGUUGUCGUCAGCUCGUGUCGUGAGAUGUUGGGUUAAGUCCCGCAACGAGCGCAACCCUCGUUCUAUGUUGCCAGCACGUAAUGGUGGGAACUCAUGGGAUACUGCCGGGGUCAACUCGGAGGAAGGUGGGGAUGACGUCAAAUCAUCAUGCCCCUUAUGUCUUGGGCUUCACGCAUGCUACAAUGGCCGGUACAAAGGGCUGCAAUACCGUGAGGUGGAGCGAAUCCCAAAAAGCCGGUCCCAGUUCGGAUUGAGGUCUGCAACUCGACCUCAUGAAGUCGGAGUCGCUAGUAAUCGCAGAUCAGCAACGCUGCGGUGAAUACGUUCCCGGGUCUUGUACACACCGCCCGUCAAGUCAUGAAAGUCGGUAACACCUGAAGCCGGUGGCCCAACCCUUGUGGAGGAGCCGUCGAAGGUGGG
rnacentral:rRNA from 1 species